GAUGAACGCUAGCGGAAGGCUUAAUACAUGCAAGUCGAGCGGUAGGUGGCUUCGGCCAUUGAGAGCGGCGCACGGGUGAGUAACGCGUACAUGACCUGCCUGUCAGAAGGGGAUAGCCCUGGGAAACUGGGAUUAAUACCCUAUGGUAUUGAUAUUAUGAAUGAUAUCAAUUAAAGUUGAGGCGCUGACAGAUGGAUGUGCGUCUGAUUAGCUAGUUGGUAGGGUAACGGCCUACCAAGGCGACGAUCAGUAGGGGGCGUGAGAGCGUGGUCCCCCACACGGGGUACUGAGACACGGACCCCGACUCCUACGGGAGGCAGCAGUAAGGAAUAUUGGUCAAUGCCCGCAAGGGUGAACCAGCCAUUCCGCGUGGAGGAUGAAGGCCCUAUGGGUUGUAAACUUCUUUUAGAUGGGAAGAAAUGCUAGAUGUAUCUGGUACUGACGGUACCAUCAGAAUAAGCACCGGCUAACUCCGUGCCAGCAGCCGCGGUAAA
rnacentral:rRNA from 1 species